GACGAACGCUGGCGGCGUGCUUAACACAUGCAAGUCGAACGGUAAGGCCCUUCGGGGUACACGAGUGGCGAACGGGUGAGUAACACGUGGGUGAUCUGCCCUGCACUUCGGGAUAAGCCUGGGAAACUGGGUCUAAUACCGGAUAGGACCCUGGGAUGCAUGUCCUGGGGUGGAAAGCUUUUGCGGUGUGGGAUGGGCCCGCGGCCUAUCAGCUUGUUGGUGGGGUGAUGGCCUACCAAGGCGACGACGAGUAGCCGGCCUGAGAGGGUGACCGGCCACACUGGGACUGAGAUACGGCCCAGACUCCUACGGGAGGCAGCAGUGGGGAAUAUUGCACAAUGGGCGCAAGCCUGAUGCAGCGACGCCGCGUGAGGGAUGACGGCCUUCGGGUUGUAAACCUCUUUCAGCACAGACGAAGCGCAAGUGACGGUAUGUGCAGAAGAAGGACCGGCCAACUACGUGCCAGCCGCCGCGGUAA
rnacentral:rRNA from 1 species